UCUCCGUUGGUGAACCAGCGGAGGGAUCAUUACCGAGUUUUCUACUCCCAAACCCCUGUGAACUUAUACCUUUACCGUUGCUUCGGCGGGCUAACGCCCCGGAAAGGCCCCCGAAAGGGAGCCGCCCCGGAACCAGGCGCCCGCCGGGGGACCCAAACUCUUGUAUUUUCUUACCUAGCAUGUCUGAGUGGAAUCAUAAACAAAUGAAUCAAAACUUUCAACAACGGAUCUCUUGGUUCUG
rnacentral:misc_RNA from 1 species